UAGGUUGCGAGCGUUGUCCGGAAUUACUGGGUGUAAAGGGCGUGUAGGCGGAGCUGCAAGUCAGAUGUGAAAUGUCAUGGCUCAACCAUGGAACUGCAUUUGAAACUGUGGCCCUUGAGUAUCGGAGAGGCAAGCGGAAUUCCUAGUGUAGCGGUGAAAUGCGUAGAUAUUAGGAGGAACACCAGUGGCGAAGGCGGCUUGCUGGACGACAACUGACGCUGAGGCGCGAAAGCGUGGGGAGCAAA
rnacentral:rRNA from 1 species